rnacentral:rRNA from 1 species
AUGCACGCUGGCGGCGUGCUUAACACAUGCAAGUCGAACGAGAAGUGAAGACGGAAACCUUCGGGCGGAAGGCUUUAUUUCGAGUGGCGGACGGGUGAGUAACGCGUGGGUAACCUGCCUCAUACAGGGGGAUAACAGUUGGAAACGACUGUUAAUACCGCAUAAGACCACAGCACCGCAUGGUGCGGGGGUAAAAACUCCGGUGGUAUGAGAUGGACCCGCGUUCGAUUAGCCAGUUGGCGGGGUAACGGCCCACCAAAGCGACGAUCGAUAGCCGAUCUGAGAGGAUGACCGGCCACAUUGGGACUGAGACACGGCCCAAACUCCUACGGGAGGCAGCAGUGGGGAAUAUUGCACAAUGGGGGAAACCCUGAUGCAGCGACGCCGCGUGAGUGAAGAAGUAUUUCGGUAUGUAAAGCUCUAUCAGCAGGGAAGAAAAUGACGGUACCUGAGGAAGAAGCCCCGGCUAACUACGUG